rnacentral:rRNA from 1 species
AGCGAACGCUGGCGGCAGGCCUAACACAUGCAAGUCGAACGAACUCUUCGGAGUUAGUGGCGGACGGGUGAGUAACACGUGGGAACGUGCCUUUAGGUUCGGAAUAACUCAGGGAAACUUGUGCUAAUACCGAAUGUGCCCUUCGGGGGAAAGAUUUAUCGCCUUUAGAGCGGCCCGCGUCUGAUUAGCUUGUUGGUGGGGUAAUGGCCCACCAAGGCGACGAUCAGUAGCUGGUCUGAGAGGAUGACCAGCCACAUUGGGACUGAGACACGGCCCAAACUCCUACGGGAGGCAGCAGUGGGGAAUCUUGCGUAAUGGGCGAAAGCCUGACGCAGCCAUGCCGCGUGGAUGAUGAAGGUCUUAGGAUUGUAAAAUCCUUUCACCGGUGAAGAUAAUGACUGUACCCGGAGAAGAAGCCCCGGCUAACUUCGUGCCAGCCGCCGCCGUAAUAC